UACAUGCAAUCAAAGAUAGCGAUCUCUCA
rnacentral:piRNA from 1 species